AUUGAACGCUGGCGGCAUGCUUUACACAUGCAAGUCGAACGGUAACAGGCCGCAAGGUGCUGACGAGUGGCGAACGGGUGAGUAAUGCAUCGGAACGUGCCCAGUCGUGGGGGAUAACUACUCGAAAGAGUAGCUAAUACCGCAUACGAUCUAUGGAUGAAAGCGGGGGACCGUAAGGCCUCGCGCGAUUGGAGCGGCCGAUGUCAGAUUAGGUAGUUGGUGGGGUAAAGGCUCACCAAGCCAACGAUCUGUAGCUGGUCUGAGAGGACGACCAGCCACACUGGGACGGAGACACGGCCCAGACUCCUACGGGAGGCAGCAGUGGGGAAUUUUGGACAAAGGGCGCAAGCCUGAUCCAGCAAUGCCGCGUGCAGGAAGAAGGCCUUCGGGUUGUAAACUGCUUUUGUACGGAACGAAACGGCUCUGGUUAAUACCCGGGGCUAAUGACGGUACCGUAAGAAUAAGCACCGGCUAACUACGUG
rnacentral:rRNA from 1 species